rnacentral:lncRNA from 1 species
UAGCUUACUCUAUAUUUUAUAAUCAAUUAAAAAUAAGAAAUUAAACCUGUUUACAUUUUGUUUAUGGCUAUAGCUUGUGGUAAAGCGAAUUAGAAUUUCAUUCUGAUUCGAAACAAUGUGCAAUGACGUGUUCCAUCUCUAUGCGACCGAGAGGGUCACAAUGCCGACGCUUCACAUGGAACUCCAGAACCCAAGAGAUAUGUCCAGAACUCUCAAUAAAUCGUCAGUUCUUGAUCGACAAACAACGAGAGAGACAGUAUUAUUAUGGCAAGCUUUUCAUUCAUCUUCCCUGAAGACAGACGUUGUUCCAUUAAGGACAACGAAGUCAAUUCAGGGUGGAUGUCAAUGGUGACCCAACUCAAUGCCCUUGGUGGUCCAGAGUCAGAGAGUCAGAACAUUGUUCAGAGCUUUGCAGAGGUACUUGGUGACAAGUACCACUACGAGAAUACCAUCAACAGCUCUCUGCUCUGGACUGUUGGGUACACCCCUUACAUUCCCCCAGCUCUGAAAGGAAGAAGCUUCCCUUCUGUCGAGAGCUUCUUCCUGGAUGAGUGGGAUCCACUGACACUCCUGCAGACUCCUCAGGUUCUGUCCACCAGUGUUUCCAUCGAGGAAGACAACCUGAUCCAGUCUGCUGCAGGCCUAGUGUCUCAAGUUCUGUCCACCAGUGUUGCCAUCGUGGAGAAUUACCUGAUCCAGUCUGCUGCAGGCCUAGUGUCUCAGGUUCUGUCCACCAGUGUUUCCAUCGAGGAAGACAACCUGAUCCAGUCUGCUGCAGGCCUAGUGUUUCUGGUUCUGUCCACCAGUGUUUCCAUCGUGGAGAAUGACCUGAUCCAGUCUGCUGCAGGCCUAGUGUCUCAGGUUCUGUCUACCAGUGUUUUCAUCGUGGAGAAUGACCUGAUCCAGUCUGCUGCAGGCCUAGUGUCUCAGGUUCUGUCCACCAGUGUUUCCAUCGUGGAGAAUGACUUGAUCCAGUCUGCUGCAGGCCUAGUGUCUCAGGUUCUGUCUACCAGUGUUGCCAUCAUGGAGAAUGACCUGAUCCAGUCUGCUGCAGGCCUAGUGUCUCAGGUUCUGUCCAGCAGUGACGCUAGAGUGAAGGAUCGUGAUGAUUCCACACUGAGAGACUCCAACCAACUUGAGGUCCAUGUGGCUGAUGUCUCAACCAAGAGAAGUAGACUAGUCAUCACUAUUUCUAUGUUUUCAUCCGAGAGUGGCAAUGCUUCGGUCCAUGAAGUUGAUGCUAUUGCUACCAGCCUGGAGCACUCUGCUGAGAAAAUGUCUACCUCUACCGCUAAUGGCCAUAUUGUUUCAUCCACUGCUGUAGCCAAUCAGAAGAAAACAAGGGGUGGAUUCAUCUCAUCUCUACGGAGACUGUUCACAAGAAAGAACAGGAUGCCUGUCAGUAAUACUUAAAUAGUCUUUUGUACUAUAAUAUGUUAUAAUUUCUUAACUAUUGUUAUACUAAUAUCCUUUGUUAAUGGUUGUCUUUAAAAUAUUUUUCUCUAUUGUCUACUUGUCUGUUUUUCAGGCUUAAAGUGGCAUCAAAGAAGGAGCACGUUCACUUGGUUGACCGCCUCAAUGCUGAAGUCACCCACUGAGGACACUCACUCACUGCUGAAGGCAUCCAGAAUGAUGCUUCUGUUUCUCCUCAACACCACCUACACCCCUGCCCCUCUCCCCCACACCAAACCCUACCAGGGUUGAGGUGAAUUCCAGAUCAAUUCAGUCAAUUCAGCAAGUCAACUGAAAUUCCAAUUCCAAUUGUUUCUCAUAGGAGGCAAUGAGGUAAAUUUGAAUUGCUAUUGGAAUUUCAGUUUACUUACUGAAUUGACUGAAUUGAAAAUGAAUUGACCCCAACCCUGAUCCCCAAGCCCCCACCCCAUCCAUUUCUAUCUUCAGUAAAUUUUGUAGAAUUUUAUUUGAAGUUGUUUUGGAUCUUCAUUAAAACCACAAUACAUCUCUAAUGAGGGUCACUCAUGUUACACAUCUAGAUUUAUCAUCAAAUAUCGUAGAAUUCAACAACAAAUGCAGAAAAACUGAAAACUUUUGCUGACAUUCGGUUACAAUGUAACUACACUGAACAAAAAUAUUAGCGCAACAUGUAAAGUGUUGGUCCCAUGUUUCAUGAGCUGAAAUAAAAUCCCAGAAGUGUUCCAUAUGUACAAAAAGGUUAUUUCUCUCAAAUGUUGUGUUUACAUCCCUGUUAGUGAGCAUUUCUCCUUUGCCAAGAUAAUCCAUCC